rnacentral:rRNA from 1 species
UACGUAGGGUGCGAGCGUUAAUCGGAAUUACUGGGCGUAAAGCGUGCGCAGGCGGUUUUGCAAGCCGGAUGUGAAAUCCCCGGGCUUAACCUGGGAACUGCAUUUGUGACUGCAUCGCUGGAGUGCGGCAGAGGGGGGAGUGGAAUUCCGCGUGUAGCAGUGAAAUGCGUAGAUAUCAAGAGGAACACCAGUGGCGAAGGCGAGUCCCUGGACAACUUCUGACGCUGAGGCACGAAAGCUAGGGGAGCAAACAGG